GGCGCAGCCUGAUGCAGCACGCCGCGUGCGGGAAGACAGCCCUAGGGUUGUAAACCGCUUUCAGUAGGGAAGAAAAUGACGGUACCUACAGAAGAAGGUGCGGCCAACUACGUGCCAGCAGCCGCGGUGACACGUAGGCACCAAGCGUUAUCCGGAUUUAUUGGGCGUAAAGAGCUCGUAGGCGGUUUGGUAAGUCGGGUGUGAAAACUCAGGGCUUAACCCUGAGACGCCACCCGAUACUGCCAUGACUUGAGUACGGUAGGGGAGCGGGGAACUCCUGGUGUAGCGGUGAAAUGCGCAGAUAUCAGGAAGAACACCGGUGGCGAAGGCGCCGCUCUGGGCCGUAACUGACGCUGAGGAGCGAAAGCGUGGGUAGCAAACAGGAUUAGAUACCCUGGUAGUCCACGCCGUAAACGUUGGGCACUAGGUGUGGGUCUCAACUAACGAGAUCCGCGCCGUAGCUAACGCAUUAAGUGCCCCGCCUGGGGAGUACGGUCGCAAGACUAAAACUCAAAGAAAUUUGACGGA
rnacentral:rRNA from 1 species